rnacentral:rRNA from 1 species
AUUCCAGCUCCAAUAGCGUAUAUUAAAGUUGUUGCAGUUAAAAAGCUCGUAGUUGGAUUUCGGGACGGGCCAGUUGGUCCGCCGCAAGGUGUGUACUGACUGGUCUGUUCUUCUUCGCAAAGACUGCGUGUGCUCUUUAUUGAGUGUGCGUAGGAUUUACGACGUUUACUUUGAAAAAAUUAGAGUGUUCAAAGCAGGCUAUCGCUUGAAUACAUGAGCAUGGAAUAAUGGAAUAGGACUUUGGUUCUAUUUUGUUGGUUUCUAGGACCGAAGUAAUGAUUAAGAGGGACAAUUGGGGGCAUCCGUAUUUCGUUGUCAGAGGUGAAAUUCUUGGAUUUACGAAAGACGAACAACUGCGAAAGCACUUGCCAAGAGUGUUUUCAUUA